rnacentral:rRNA from 1 species
UAUUCCGGGGGGCAUGCCUGUUCGAGCGUCAUUACAACCCUCAAGCUCUGCUUGGUGUUGAGCCCGCCCCGGCCUGCCCGGGGCUCGCUUCAAAGUCAGUGGCGGCCGCCGUCCGACCUUCAGCGCAGUAAUGCUCGCCGCUGUUAGGGAAGGGUAGCAAGGGCCGUCAUACAACCCCCACACACAAGGUUGACCUCGGAUCAGGUAGGGAUACCCGCUGAACUUAAGCAUAUCAAUAAGCGGAGGAAAAGAAACCAACAGGGAUUGCCUCAGUAACGGCGAGUGAAGCGGCAACAGCUCAAAUUUGAAAGCUGGCUCCUUCGGGGCCCGCGUUGUAAUUUGUAGAGGAUGCUUCGGGCGCGGCACCGGUCUAAGUUCUCUGGAACGAGACGUCAUAGAGGGUGAGAAUCCCGUAUGNGACUGGCUGCCUGUGCCCAUGUGAAGCUCCUUCGACGAGUCGAGUUGUUUGGGAAUGCAGCUCAAAAUGGGAGGUGUACUCCUUCUAAAGCUAAACAUUGGCCAGAGACCGAUAGCGCACAAGUAGAGUGAUCGAAAGAUGAAAAGCACUUUGGAAAGAGAGUUAAACAGUACGUGAAAUUGUUGAAAGGGAAGCGCUUGCAAUCAGACUUGCGCGGCGUCGAUCAGCCUGGGUUCUCCCUGGUGCACUCGGCGCCGCUCAGGCCAGCAUCAGUUUCGGCGGUGGGAUAAAGGCCUAGGGAACGUGGGUCCCCUCGGGGACCGUUAUAGCCCUAGGUGCAAUGCCGCCUGCCGGGACUGAGGACCGCGCU